ensembl:snoRNA SNORA44 small nucleolar RNA, H/ACA box 44
CAGCAUGUUCCCAAGGCCUGUGGCUGGUUGUGGCCACGGGGUCUCCAACUGCAUGCGAGAACAACCUGGAGAGACUUUGACAGCUCGGGUCAGCACAAUACCUGCAGCUGCCACUCGCCUUUCCUAUAAUC